GAUGAACGCUAGCUACAGGCUUAACACAUGCAAGUCGAGGGGCAGCACAGAGAUAGCUUGCUAUCUUGGGUGGCGACCGGCGCACGGGUGAGUAACGCGUAUCCAACCUGCCCCGUACUCGGGUAUAGCCCAGCGAAAGCUGGAUUAAUCCCCGAUGUCACCUUUAUGGUGCAUGCCAUAUUGGUUAAAGUUAUUCGGUACGGGAUGGGGAUGCGUCUGAUUAGGUAGUAGGCGGGGUAACGGCCCACCUAGCCGACGAUCAGUAGGGGUUCUGAGAGGAAGGUCCCCCACACUGGAACUGAGACACGGUCCAGACUCCUACGGGAGGCAGCAGUGAGGAAUAUUGGUCAAUGGACGCAAGUCUGAACCAGCCAUGCCGCGUGCAGGAAGACGGCUCUAUGAGUUGUAAACUGCUUUUGUACAAGGGUAAACCUCGGUACAUGUACCGAGCUGAAAGUACUGUACGAAUAAGGAUCGGCUAACUCCGUGCCAG
rnacentral:rRNA from 1 species